UCCCCAAGUAGACAAUUAAACAAAGAAACCAAGAUACAAAUAUAACAAUCCUACAAAGAAGGGGCCAUGUUUAUUGCCAUUUUAAGGUUGCUUCUUUUUCUUUCUGACGCCCUUUAAAAUACAAUGCAUUUCCUAUUGUUGUAUGUGGAACAUUGGUGUUGGCAAUUCUGUGUUUUAGCUGUUUGAAUAUCAUCAUAUACUGCCCAGUGGGGAAGAACAGGCCACAUUUAACUAGAAGAUGUAAAGCACAGAAAUGCACAGUCAACACAUUUUAGAAGACAGAUUUAUGAAGAGUACUCUGCUACAGAACCUAAAGGGCCAGUUUCCUUUCAGGGUCUCUCCUCCAGCAUCCCUGCCUACUAGGCUCCUACCCACAGUUUUGCUGGGCUGGAACAUCUCUAGCUUCCUAUACUGCAUCAGGUCCCUUCCAACUCCACAACACCUUCCUAAAACAGAAUCAAACAUCAAUGGCAUUGAUACCAAAGUCAGCUUGCAUUUUUACCUCAAGUACUUACAUCUGCAAAAUAAGUAGGGAUUUUACCUGAAAUAUAAUAUUUCAUUUAUAGACUAUUCUAGGGAAGGAAUUGACGGACAAUUCCUACUACUGCCUGGAACUUCUGACCUGAACGCUCCAAAGGGGGCAGUACUUUCAUGCAGCUGGAAUUCAGCUUGCCUGUGUGCUUCACCAAAAACUGACAGAAAAAGGAGGCUUAAAAAAUUAUGAAAAAUGACUCUAAACAGCGUUCCUCCUUUCUUUCUGCUUCAGUUUGUGCAAACAGGCAAAAUGAUAUUUCUAACCUAUCUGUCAUAACAUUAACAUAACCUCUGACACCUCUUGAUAAGUCUCCCUUUGUAGGCUUGAAAUUCCAGUUCAUUUCAUCAGAAAAGGUUUCCUCCUUUGUCACACUUUGUUCUGGAAGGCUCUGGAAGUAUUUUAUUGAAGAGGAGAAAGGGAGAGCAGUAUUGCGUUGAUUUUAUUUAGGGAGGGGGAAAGCAUCAGCAUUUUCUGCAAGUAGAGUUCUGCAGCAUGCACUGCAGCUAACAGACGUCCCGUAGUACAGCUUGGGCCUGCUACAGCUUCCUCAAUGUCCAGGGGAAAACUCCCAUUGAUUUUAGGGGAUGCUGGAUCCACAGCUUCCGUUCAUGCUUUCUGUUACAAAAAAAGCACCUCAGCCAUGCUAAAUAAUGGAUGCUCUCAUUAAUUUCCACUCUACGAUAUCUGCAGCGUAGUGCUGAAACAUGACUAAUGUACAACAAAUGAUACUUGGCUGCAUUAUACAUUAGUACCUAGCAGUGAAUACAUUGACAUUUCAGCUCCAUGACAAAGACACAGCACAUGUUCUCUUUCAAGGCAUGUCAUUAUUUGCCUGCCUUUUUUUUUUUUUGGCUGCCGCUUUUCCUCGACAACUUGCAUGUCUUCUCCUUGGCAAUGCUCAGCAUUGGCCAUUAAACUGGAAAACUGAGAAUCUGCUUCAUUACUCCUCUUCUGUUUCAGCAGCCCAAGUGAACGCCAGCUCUGAGCCGGCUGCAAAAGCCGCCUGUCUCAGGAAGCCUGGCUCUGGCCAAGCCUGCUGGAGAAGGGGGGGCUAGAAGACCCCCAAAACCUCACGCUCACAUGGCUCACCUGUCCUUCAGCUGGUAGUGCUGAUUAGCACAAGGCGAGGGGCAGCAAAGGAGCCCCAUCCUAAAAGGAAGGAUGGGAUCGACGUGAUCUUUCUCCCUUCUUUGAGCCAGGAAGGCUUCCAAGACACAACAGGGUGCCACUGCCGCCCAAAACCUCAAGCAUUAUGUUGGGCAGAACUCCCCAUCUCUGCGAGCCGGUCUCCUCCGACUUGUAGGAGCAGGGCUCAUCUUUCUGAAGCUCCAGGUAGACCCUGGGGUUCGGUAGGAAAGCGUUCCCAUGGUGCUGCUUUCUGGCUGCGCUCCGAGACCAGACUGAGAUGAGGAGCGCUCUGAGCUAAGUGAUGGGGCAUGUGGAAAAAGCUGAGCAACCGCAGCGUCACCGCAGCGCCUCAGGAGUGAGCAAGUGAGUCAGAGAGUGAUGUUAAUGGAACCACUGGGAGACAUAAAUCCUCCCUUAGCCAACACGCAUCCGGGCUGGACAAUAUAUUUACAGUCUGCCUGCACCGGCUUUCAAGAAAUACCUUCUUCACAUGUUCCUUUUUUUUUUUUUUUUCCUUUGAAAAUAUUAGGGCUUAGCUGCAUAUACGCAGUUUUUCAAACAGUUUCAUGUGGAAUCGAACAAGCGAGGCCAGAAAUCUUUGCUGAGCCCUGUUGCAGCUGGCCUUAAAAUACAUUUUGCAUAAUUACCAAGGAAUAGUCAGCUCAGGACUAGCUUUUCUAUUUCCUUUCCGCAAUUCCCCUCCAUUCCUCCUAUUUCUAGAAAACACUUUCCCCUUUACCCCCCGUGUUGUUUCUACCAUGUCUCCAGCUGCGGACAUCUAAAAGGGACUCUUUAGAGCCUUUCAAAACAGCUCUUUAAUCAGCCAGAACAUCUGACUGCUGAUUGAAGAAAGCCAUCUAUUUGCUUGUACUCAAGUCCUGAAAACAUCCCUUCAGCAGAAUUCACAGCUCGCGCUGGCUCACGUGGCCAGAAUCUGACUGAAGACUGAACCUCGGUCUCCUAAGCAGCAAUGUCAGCCACUGUCAUCAGGCGAACUGUUUCUGCAUCAGUGUGAGCUAAACUCAAAGAGCUAAGGUGCUUGUGAGAGUCAGAGAACUGUGGGAUGGAAUGAGGAAGAGAUUCAGUAAAAGAUGACAAAUGAGAUGGAUACACCAGCAGAAACCAUCUACGCAAAGUGCACACAUGCUGACAAUGACGUCAUGGAGCAAAGACAUUUCUGGAGGGCUCCUGGGUAACCCAUCAUCUUCAGAACUGGUCCCAGCAUCCUCUGUCCGCUUUGCAUGAAAUCCAAACGGAGGCGGAGGUCCCAGCUUCAUGUUGUUUGGCGCUGCCUAGUGGCUGUAUCGUGCAGCAUCGUUCCAAGUGGAUGGGAUGGGUUUGCCUUUCUAGUCCCUCUGCACAGCAGCAGCUCUUGGCUGCACUUCACCCACAACACAAGUCCACCUGUCCAUCCAGGAAUACAUUUGGACUUUGUAUCAUGUUUCUCAUGGUUACUUUUUGGAUGAGAAGUAAUGGAUAACAUUUUUGGAAAUGCCUGCAUGAAGACAGGAUGUUCAGAGGCAUCCAGAUCUGCAGACUGGGAUUCGCCUCAUCUAACCUCAAACACUGCAGCGCAGGUACCUGCAUCGGAGCCGGUCACCCCAGGCUCCUGCUUACACUUGGUGAGGAGAAACAGGCACUUCUAGAGCAUGGUUCAUCAGUGACUUCAAGAUGUACCACAAGAACAUUACCAGCUUUCUUAGCAAUGUUGACUUCUCUCUGCUGAUUACAAAAGGCAGUUGGUGACAACCUCAGAUGCAGGCAUUUAUCCUUUGGUCAGAUGAAUCCCAGUUAUACAGAGGAAACAAAGGCUCUGCAGCCUCUGGUUCCUACUGGCAUAAAUGAUCAGGCAUCUACAUUUUUUAACAAUCCAUAGGAGAUGCAUCUUAGGGGCAUAAGACAAUUCUGAUCAAAUUUAAGCUGAGUACCUCAUUCUACUUUUGAAGAUGAGAACUACAUUAUUUAGAAAUGAUAACCCAAGGAUUACUUAUGCUUAAACAAAAGCUCUUUUAGUUACUAGCUAUUAGUUAUUGCUGCAUCCCAUCCACUUGUGAUUUGCCUUGCAUCAGGCAUUUUAAUUUGUACUUCCGUUAAAAAGGCAACUGUUUGAGAGUGCAACCAUUCUGAACAAAAGGAGUAAGCAAUUCAGGGUAUCUUUAAUCUAUAAACAUCAUAGCAGCUCUGUAUUUGUCCACCAGCCACAGUCCA